rnacentral:rRNA from 1 species
UACGGAGGGUGCAAGCGUUAUCCGGAUUUACUGGGUUUAAAGGGUGCGUAGGUGGAUAAUUAAGUCAGUGGUGAAAUCUUCAGGCUUAACCUGGAAACUGCCAUUGAUACUAUUUAUCUUGAAUACUUUGGAGGUAAGCGGAAUAUGUCAUGUAGCGGUGAAAUGCUUAGAUAUGUGGAGGAACACCGAUGGCGAAGGCAGCCCCCUGGGUUAACACUGACGCUCAUGCACGAAAGCGUGGGGAGCAAACAGG